CAGCCGUGCGGUAAGCACAGAGCGAACUAUUCUUUCGCCUUUUAAAAAAGAAUACCGUGUGCUUGCCGUUUUAUAAGCUUAGUUGGAUAAACGUUUUAGUCUCUAUGGCUUGGAUAAACAA